rnacentral:rRNA from 1 species
ACUUAGCAUAUCAAUAAGCGGAGGAAAAGAAACCAACAGGGAUUGCCCUAGUAACGGCGAGUGAAGCGGCAACAGCUCAAAUUUGAAAUCUGGCUCUUUUAGAGUCCGAGUUGUAAUUUGCAGAGGGCGCUUUGGCUUUGGCAGCGGUCCAAGUUCCUUGGAACAGGACGUCACAGAGGGUGAGAAUCCCGUACGUGGUCGCUGGCUAUUGCCGUGUAAAGCCCCUUCGACGAGUCGAGUUGUUUGGGAAUGCAGCUCUAAAUGGGAGGUACAUUUCUUCUAAAGCUAAAUAUUGGCCAGAGACCGAUAGCGCACAAGUAGAGUGAUCGAAAGAUGAAAAGCACUUUGGAAAGAGAGUCAAACAGCACGUGAAAUUGUUGAAAGGGAAGCGCUUGCAGCCAGACUUGCUUACAGUUGCUCAUCCGGGCUUUUGCCCGGUGCACUCUUCUGUAGGCAGGCCAGCAUCAGUUUGGGCGGUAGGAUAAAGGUCUCUGUCACGUACCUCCUUUCGGGGAGGCCUUAUAGGGGAGACGACAUACUACCAGCCUGGACUGAGGUCCGCGCAUCUGCUAGGAUGCUGGCGUAAUGGCUGUAAGCGGCCCGUCUUGAAACACGGACCAAGGAGUCUAACAUCUAUGCGAGUGUUUGGGUGUCAAGCCCGAGCGCGUAAUGAAAGUGAACGGAGGUGGGAACCCGCAAGGGUGCACCAUCGACCGAUCCUGAUGUCUUCGGAAGGAUUUGAGUAAGAGCAUGGCUGUUGGGACCCGAAAGAUGGUGAACUAUGCUUGAAUAGGGUGAAGCCAGAGGAAACUCUGGUGGAGGCUCGCAGCGGUUCUGACGUGCAAUCGAUCGUCAAAUUUGGGCAUAGGGGCGAAAGACUAAUCGAACUAUCUAGUAGCUGGUUCCUGCCGAA